GACGAACGCUGGCGGCGUGCUUAAUACAUGCAAGUCGAGCGAGGCCCAUCCAGUGGCAACACUGGGGAAGGCCGAGCGGCGAACGGGUGAGUAACACGUGAGCAACCUGCCCCGAAGUCUGGAAUAACAUCGGGAAACCGGUGCUAAUACCGGAUUGCCCCACCUGACCGCAUGAUCGGGUGAGGAAAGAUCUAUCGCUUCGGGAGGGGCUCGCGGCCUAUCAGCUAGUUGGCGGGGUAACGGCCCACCAAGGCGUCGACGGGUAGCUGGUCUGAGAGGACGACCAGCCACACUGGGACUGAGACACGGCCCAGACUCCUACGGGAGGCAGCAGUAGGGAAUCUUGCGCAAUGGGCGAAAGCCUGACGCAGCAACGCCGCGUGGGGGAUGACGGCC
rnacentral:rRNA from 1 species